CUACGGGACGCUGCAGUGGGGAAUCUUAGACAAUGGGGGAAACCCUGAUCUAGCCAUGCCGCGUGAGUGAUGAAGGCCUUAGGGUCGUAAAGCUCUUUCGCCAGGGAUGAUAAUGACAGUACCUGGUAAAGAAACCCCGGCUAACUCCGUGCCAGCAGCCGCGGUAAUACGGAGGGGGUUAGCGUUGUUCGGAAUUACUGGGCGUAAAGCGCGCGUAGGCGGGCUGUUAAGUUAGAGGUGAAAUCCCGGGGCUCAACCCCGGAACUGCCUUUAAUACUGGCAGCCUAGAGUUCGAGAGAGGUGAGUGGAAUUCCGAGUGUAGAGGUGAAAUUCGUAGAUAUUCGGAGGAACACCAGUGGCGAAGGCGGCUCACUGGCUCGAUACUGACGCUGAGGUGCGAAAGCGUGGGGAGCAAACAGGAUUAGAUACCCCGGUAGUC
rnacentral:rRNA from 1 species